rnacentral:rRNA from 1 species
AUUGAACGCUGGCGGCAUGCCUUACACAUGCAAGUCGAACGGUAACGGGCCUUCGGGUGCCGACGAGUGGCGCACGGGUGAGUAAUACAUCGGAACGUGCCCGAUCGUGGGGGAUAACGAGGCGAAAGCUUUGCUAAUACCGCAUACGAUCUACGGAUGAAAGCAGGGGACCGCAAGGCCUUGCGCGGACGGAGCGGCCGAUGGCAGAUUAGGUAGUUGGUGGGAUAAAAGCUUACCAGGCCGACGAUCUGUAGCUGGUCUGAGAGGAUGAUCAGCCACACUGGGACUGAGACACGGCCCAGACUCCUACGGGAGGCAGCAGUGGGGAAUUUUGGACAAUGGGCGCAAGCCUGAUCCAGCCAUGCCGCGUGCAGGAUGAAGGCCUUCGGGUUGUAAACUGCUUUUGUACGGAACGAAAAGCCUUCUUUUAAUACAGGAGGGUCAUGACGGUACCGGAAGAAUAAGCACCGGCUAACUACGUG